UACGAAGGGGGCUAGCGUUGCUCGGAAUUACUGGGCGUAUAGGGCGCGUAGGCGGGUGUUUAAGUCAGAGGUCAAAUCCCAGAGCUCAACUCUGGAACUGCCUUUGAUACUGGACACCUAGAGUACGGGAGAGGUGUGUGGAACUCCGAGUGUAGAGGUGAAAUUCGUAGAUAUUCGCAAGAACACCAGUGGCGAAGGCGGCUCACUGGCCCGAUACUGACGCUGAGGCACGAAAGCGUGGGGAGCAAACAGG
rnacentral:rRNA from 1 species